UACGUAGGUGGCGAGCGUUGUCCGGAUUUACUGGGCGUAAAGAGCGCGCAGGCGGUCGUGCAAGUCGCGUGUGAAAGCCCCCGGCUCAACUGGGGAGGGUCACGCGAUACUGCUCGACUUGAAGGCAGGAGAGGGAAGUGGAAUUCCCGGUGUAGUGGUGAAAUGCGUAGAUAUCUGGAGGAACACCGGUGGCGAAGGCGACAUCCUGGACCGGUAUUGACGCUGAGGCGCGAAAGCCAGGGGAGCAAACGGG
rnacentral:rRNA from 1 species